rnacentral:lncRNA from 1 species
UUUUUUUUUGUUACAUCAAUAAUACCAAGAUAUAAAUAAAAAAGAAUUCAAAACUAAAUAAAAAAAAAUACAUCAAACAAUUUUAAAUUACAAAAACCAGUCCUAAAACAUCUCUAGAAAAUGCAGGAACAGUGCACGGAACAGUGCUGGAAGAUUUCUGGGGCAGCAAACAGCGGCGGCGCGUCUCCUCCAUGCGCCACCGCCACUGGCGGCGCGUGGGUUGACGCGCCGCCGUAAAAAUCCAGCAGCAAGGGAGGGUCUGAAAACGUGUUCCUCCCUUCUUUCUCGCCGGCGGUGACCUGCACAAACACCAAAAGAAACGCAACAAAGCAAUCGAUUUUAUUUUUGUUUUAUUUCUUUUGUUUUCCCGAUCUGCCUCUAUUCUCCUUCAAAUCUGCUUCGGUUUUAUUUUUCUUGUCCGAUCUGGCUUCUCCUUCUCUGUUUCAGGCGGCAGUGAAGAGGAACGACUGAGAAGGGGGCGUCGCCGCUGGGGCUGUUCGGAUGUGGGCUGCUGGUUUGGUCUCCACUUAUGUUGGUUGCAGCGGCGGAUGGCCCUGCUGCUGUUGUCUGCGUCCGGUGGAGCCGCUGUGAAGAUGGAGGGGAGCUUGUCUCGCGGUGUGGCGGAGCUGGAGACGAGGAGGACUGCUGGAGGCGGCCAGAGGAGGAGAAACCCACGGGUCCAAGCUGGGGAAGCAGCGAUCGUCUUCAACAGGAAGCGCCGGAGCUGCGGGUUGAUUUGGGUGGAGGCGCUGCUAUUGAGAGGAGAAGAAGACGCUGCUGAGGAAGGGGGUUUCGGCUGGAUCUGCUGCCGGUUCGCUGCAAUGGGGAAAACCGGGAGGGGCUUGAGC